UACGGAGGGUGCUAGCGUUAAUCGGAAUUACUGGGCGUAAAGCGCCCGCAGGCGGUCUGUCAAGUCAGAUGUGAAAUCCCCGGGCUCAACCUGGGAACUGCAUUUGAGACUGGCAGGCUUGAAGCUGGUAGAGGUGGGUAGAAUUCCAAGUGUAGCGGUGAAAUGCGUAGAUAUCCGGAGGAAUACCGGUGGCGAAGGCGGCUACCUGGACCA
rnacentral:rRNA from 1 species